UACGAAGGAUGCGAGCGUUAUCCGGAUUUACUGGGUGUAAAGGGAGCGUAGACGGUUUGGCAAGUCUGAAGUGAAAGCUCGGGGCUCAACCCCGGAGCUGCUUUGGAAACUGUCGAACUGGAGUGCAGGAGAGGUAAGCGGAAUUCCUAGUGUAGCGGUGAAAUGCGUAGAUAUUAGGAGGAACACCAGAGGCGAAGGCGGCUUACUGGACUGUAACUGACGUUGAGGCUCGAAGGCGUGGGAGCAAACA
rnacentral:rRNA from 1 species